ACAAACUCCUGCGUCCAGACAAACUCCUGCGUCAUCGGGGAAGGAGACAAUGCGAAGAUGUUUUCCUCGGUGUCUUUCUGCCAUUGAGGCAGACAAAGCAUUUUCCCUUCCUGCUUCAGAGGACCACAGCAAAACAGCGAUGACCGAAAGAUUGAGCUCUUAAAUGUAAAAUCUUACCUUUGAAGACCUACGUGGAGGCUGGAUGAAAGAAAAGCAUAGGACAGGUUUAUUAUAAAAAGGGAGAGGAGACUAAAGGACACCUGCACAGACACAAGUGGACAGAAAGCUGCCCUGAAAAGGACAGGUUUGCUGAAAGAGAAGCCAGCAGCCUGUGGGGGCACUGCCUCUGCUGCUUUGCAAAGGGAAAAGUGUUUCCAGGUUGCUGGCAAGUCUUAGUUGGAUAAACAUAAGGCAAAGAGAAAGCCCAGGGAUUCACCAUCCUGUGUUUCCUUGGAUCCUGAAGUCCUUGCCAACCUGCCUUCUUCUCCCACCUUUCAGACUUGUAUUCAUUUUAUAAUAAUG